UACGUAGGGUGCGAGCGUUAAUCGGAGUUACUGGGCGUAAAGCGUGCGCAGGCGGCUUCGCAAGUCAGACGUGAAAUCCCCGGGCUCAACCCGGGAACUGCGUCCGAUACUGGUUGGCUUGAAUCCGGGAGAGGGAUGCGGAAUUCCAGGUGUAGCGGUGAAAUGCGUAGAUAUCUGGAGGAACACCGGUGGCGAAGGCGGCAUCCUGGACCGGCAUUGACGCUGAGGCGCGAAAGCCAGGGGAGCAAACGGG
rnacentral:rRNA from 1 species